UUCUUAUCAAGAACGAUUGCCAAAUGUUUUAACAUAAAACUGUGUUAUCCAAGUCAAGAAUCAGAUAUUAAGCAUGUCGUGUAAAAUAAAAGACAGGGAUUUAAAUAAUUUAAGUAAAAUGAUAAGUCGAAAAACGAAAGUUUUCCUUUGUCCAUACGUUUCAAUCAUAAUAAUAAUUAUGUGUAAAAGUUAAGUUGUAUCAUAUUAUGUCAAAAAAUAAUAAUAGUAGAAUUUAAUGUGCAAUCAUAUUAUUAUCACGAUACACGAUCUGUUGUCAUAUUUAAGAUAAUUAGUAUUUAAAAAAUCAAUUGCUGUAUUAGUAUAUAAGAUAACGAAGAUGAUUUUAAGAAACCUAAGACACUAAAUAAAGAAAAUAAUAAAAACAGUGGAUGAAGUAAGCGUUUGAAAAGAAAAUUUAUAGCUACAUGUCGGUGUUUAUUGCAGUUAAACUGAAAACUACAGAGAACUGGAAAGAGAUAAUAUACUCAUAAAAAGUAGCACAUUAAUAUAACAGAAAGUAUCCUAUUAGUAAAUAACGGUUGCAUUUGAAAUGUAAAAAUCACUAGUACUAUAUAAUGCCAUUUUUUAUGAUAUUUUAUGAUUCAUAUGUAUUGUUUAUUGCAAAUUAUUUAAUUAAUUAUAUACCUGUCUAGCAAGUUUUUCAGGGAUGAAAUAAUAUUUUCAUGUUUUAUUGCUCUUGGGUCGGAGGGUGAUAGGUCUGAAUCCGCCAUUGACUUUACUGCAAAUAUUUAUUUGAAAAGAAGACAAAGAGAAUUAAAGGUAAAGGAAUAAAUAACAUACCAACAUAUACAAUUUUGUUUUUUAAAGCAAAAUUGAAGAUAAGGUUAACAGCGAAUAAUUUGACCUCGACGCAACAAUGGCGUCAUGGAGGCUAGGAAACUAUAACAAAACAUUUUGCACAUGUGCAGAAAUAUCCUGAAGCAGUGACGUACAGAUUACUUGUAAUUACUUUCUGUAUAAGUACAUAGUUGUAUUGAUGUCGAUUCUCUUCUUCUUCCAUGGUAGUCUCUAUUUAUGCAAAUUAAUAUUUUCAUGAAAAUAAAAGUUUUAUAAAAGACGA